GUAGGUGGCAAGCGUUGUCCGGAAUUAUUGGGCGUAAAGCGCGCGCAGGCGGUCCUUUAAGUCUGAUGUGAAAGCCCACGGCUCAACCGUGGAGGGUCAUUGGAAACUGGGGGACGUUGAGUACAGAAGAGGAAAGCGGAAUUCCAAGUGUAGCGGUGAAAUGCGUAGAGAUUUGGAGGAACACCAGUGGCGAAGGCGGCUUUCUGGUCUGUAACUGACGCUGAGGCGCGAAAGCGUGGGGAGCAAACAGGGAUUAGAUACCCUGGUAGUCCACGCCGUAAACGAUGAGUGCUAAGUGUUAGGGGGGUUUUCCCGCCCCCUUAGUGCUGCAGCUAACGCAUUAAGCACUCCGCCUGGGGAGUACGGCCGCAAGGCUG
rnacentral:rRNA from 1 species